CCGGCGAGGGGAGUGAAAAAGAACCUGAAACCGUGUACGUACAAGCAGUGGGAGCACCCUUUUGGGUGUGACUGCGUACCUUUUGUAUAAUGGGUCAGCGACUUAUAUUCUGUAGCAAGGUUAACCGUAUAGGGGAGCCGUAGGGAAACCGAGUCUUAAUUGGGCGUUAAGUUGCAGGGUAUAGACCCGAAACCCGGUGAUCUAGCCAUGGGCAGGUUGAAGGUUGGGUAACACUAACUGGAGGACCGAACCGACUAAUGUUGAAAAA
rnacentral:rRNA from 1 species